UGCAGCAGAGCUCCGACCUUCGGGGACGAGCGCUUUUAUUAGACCAAAACCAAUCGGACCUCGUGUCCGUCCUUUGUGGUGACUCUGUAUAACUUUGGGCUGAUCGCACGGGCCUGUCCCGGCGACGUAUCUUUCAAGUGUCUGCCUUAUCAACUUUCGAUGGUAGGUUACGCGCCUACCAUGGUCGUAACGGGUAACGGGGAAUCAGGGUUCGAUUCCGGAGAGGGAGCCUGAGAAACGGCUACCACAUCCAAGGAAGGCAGCAGGCGCGCAAAUUACCCACUCCCAGAACGGGGAGGUAGUGACGAAAAAUAACAAUACGGGACUCUUUUGAGACCCCGUAAUUGGAAUGAGUACACUCUAAAUCCUUUAACGAGGAUCCAUUGGAGGGUAAGUCUGGUGCCAGCAACCGCGGUAAUUCCAGCUCCAAUAGCGUAUAUUAAAGUUGUUGCGGUUAAAAAGCUCGUAGUUGGAUCUCAGUUCCAGACGGGUGGUCCUCCUACCGGUGGCUACUGCCUGUUCUGAACAGUCAGCCGGUUUCUCUUGAUGAUCUUCACCGGUUGUCUUGGGUGACCGGCAAGUUUACUUUGAAAAAAUUAGAGUGCUCAAAGCAGGCGUGACGCCUGAAUAAUGGUGCAUGGAAUAAUGGAAUAGGACCUCGGUUCUAUUUUGUUGGUUUUCGGAACACGAGGUAAUGAUUAAGAGGGACAGACGGGGGCAUUCGUAUUGCGACGCUAGAGGUGAAAUUCUUGGACCGUCGCAAGACGAACUACUGCGAAAGCAUUU
rnacentral:rRNA from 1 species